GAGUCAGCCGCCUAAGGCAGGGCAGAUACUGGGGGGAAAUCCUAACCAGGGAACCCUAAGAAAACCUGCGGGUGGAUCACCUCCUUUCUAAAGAAAACGGAUGGAUGGACAGCCGAAAUGCUAAAAAAACUCCACUUUUUUUAGAAGCACACUGCAAAAGAAACUUUGUUUAGUUUUGAG
rnacentral:misc_RNA from 1 species